UACGUAGGGGGCGAGCGUUGUCCGGAUUUAUUGGGCGUAAAGAGCUCGUAGGCGGCUGUUCGAGUCGGGUGUGAAAUCCUGAGGCUUAACCUUGGGUCUGCAUUCGAUACUGGGCGGCUUGAGUCUGGUAGGGGGAUCUGGAAUUCCUGGUGUAGCGGUGAAAUGCGCAGAUAUCAGGAGGAACACCGGUGGCGAAGGCGGCGACCUGGGUCGAGACUGACGCUGAGGCGCGAAAGCGUGGGGAGCAAACAGG
rnacentral:rRNA from 1 species